CCUACGGGAGGCUGCAGUAGGGAAUCUUCCACAAUGGGCGAAAGCCUGAUGGAGCAACGCCGCGUGGGUGAAGAAGGUCUUCUGAUCGUAAAACCCUUUUUUUAGAGAAGAAAGUGCGUGAGAGUAACUGUUCACGUUUCGACGGUAUCUAACCAGAAAGCCACGGCUAACUACGUGCCAGCAGCCGCAGUAAUACGUAGGGGGCAAGCGUUAUCCGGAUUUAUUGGGCGUAAAGGGAACGCAGGCGGUCUUUUAAGUCUGAUGUGAAAGCCUUCGGCUUAACCGGAGUAGUGCAUUGGAAACUGGGAGACGUGAGUGCAGAAGAGGAGAGUGGAACUCCAUGUGGAGCGGUGAAAUGCGUAGAUAUAUGGAAGAACACCAGUGGCGAAAGCGGCUCUCUGGUCUGUAACUGACGCUGAGGUUCGAAAGCGUGGGUAGUAAACAGGAUUAGAUACCCGGGUAGUC
rnacentral:rRNA from 1 species